CCCUUAGAUGUUCUGGGCCGCACGCGUGCUACACUGAGUGGAUCAGCGGGUCAGGUUGCGCGAAAGCGUUUCCUAAUCUUUAAAUCCGCUCGUGAUGGGGAUUGACGGUUGCAAUUUUCUGUCAUGAACGAGGAAUACCUUGUAAGCGCGGGUCAUCAUCCCGCGCUGAAUACGUCCCUGCCCUUUGUACACACCGCCCGUCGCUCCUACCGAUUGAGUGGCCCGGUGAGGCUUUGGGAUCUGAGCGGAAAGAGCGUUUCGCUGUUUCUGCUCGGAAAACUCAGUCGAACCUUAUCAUUUAGAGGAAGGAGAAGUCGUACCA
rnacentral:rRNA from 1 species